rnacentral:rRNA from 1 species
GAUGAACGCUGGCGGCGUGCCUAAUACAUGCAAGUAGAACGCCGAAGGAGGAGCUUGCUCUUCUGGAUGAGUUGCGAACGGGUGAGUAACGCGUAGGUAACCUGCCUGGUAGCGGGGGAUAACUAUUGGAAACGAUAGCUAAUACCGCAUAACAGUAGAUGUUGCAUGACAUCUGCUUGAAAGGUGCAAUUGCAUCACUACCAGAUGGACCUGCGUUGUAUUAGCUAGUUGGUGAGGUAACGGCUCACCAAGGCGACGAUACAUAGCCGACCUGAGAGGGUGAUCGGCCACACUGGGACUGAGACACGGCCCAGACUCCUACGGGAGGCAGCAGUAGGGAAUCUUCGGCAAUGGACGGAAGUCUGACCGAGCAACGCCGCGUGAGUGAAGAAGGUUUUCGGAUCGUAAAGCUCUGUUGUAAGAGAAGAACGAGUGUGAGAGUGGAAAGUUCACACUGUGACGGUAACUUACCAGAAAGGGACGGCUAACUACGUGCCAGCAGCCGCGGUAAUACGUAGGUCCCGAGCGUUAUCCGGAUUUAUUGGGCGUAAAGCGAGCGCAGGCGGUUAGAUAAGUCUGAAGUUAAAGGCUGUGGCUUAACCAUAGUACGCUUUGGAAACUGUUUAACUUGAGUGCAGAAGGGGAGAGUGGAAUUCCAUGUGUAGCGGUGAAAUGCGUAGAUAUAUGGAGGAACACCGGUGGCGAAAGCGGCUCUCUGGUCUGUAACUGACGCUGAGGCUCGAAAGCGUGGGGAGCAAACAGG